ACGUGGUGCGUGUGUGUUGGGUGAAUGUGUGUGCGAGGACAACUGGACAGGCGAUAGCUGCGAUUGUCCCGUCUCGACAACGACCUGCCAAUCACCGGAUGGUUCGCUGUGUAGCGGACGAGGCUCAUGUGUGUGUGGCCAGUGUGUGUGCGACAAUCACAGAUACUCCGGAGACUUCUGCGAGAGAUGUCCUGCUUGUCAAAGCUCCUGCCAAUCAAAUUGGAAGUGUGUGGACUGUCACAUGUCUCGCGGUCUCAAACAACGCGAGGCGGGAUACUGCAACCACACUUGCGAUUCAGACGUUGUUUACAACGGCGAUGUGAUGUCAGCAGGGCGGAAGUGGAGUCAGUGCAUGUACAUGAGUAGCGACAACUGUCGGUAUUGGUUUCACACAAAUUUUGAGUCUGGACGGAGCCAGCUUCACAUUAGCACAAGAGCAGGUAUACACACACACACA